rnacentral:lncRNA from 1 species
CAGUAUUAACAGCGUCUACUGAUGGAUGCUGAUAAAGAAGAAAAAGAGUAACAUCUACUGAAGAAUGUUGAUGAGAAGAUUCGCAUCUACUAAUGGAUGCGGGAAGAGUUUGAGAGAGCAUCUAGUGAUGGAUGCUGCUAUGAAAGAGGAUGGUGACUAGACAUCUAUUCCUAGGUUGCCCAAGCGUCGGGUUUUGCUGAUCCAGCCCAGUUUUUGCUCUGUUUUGACUCUUUUGGACCAGGCCCUAUUUUGGAGUGCCUCUAACACUAUUUAAAGGACCUUGGGACUCUAGGUUUUG